rnacentral:lncRNA from 1 species
GUUUACCCAAAAAGUAUCUAAAUUUUGACAUAAGUUUUUAUUGUGAACAUCUCUUAUUUCUUAUAGAUGGACCGCAUCAUCUUUUGUGUCUUCUUGGAAGUUGACUUCAAAAUUUUCAAGAAGAAAAUGAGUGAAUAUUUCCCUACAGAUGAGGCACAGCCUCCCACGGCCCCUAGUCCUUCAUCAGAAGAAGCUGUUGAAGCCAGCAAGGAUAAAGAUUCUACCCCAGAUGCCAGUAUCAUACAAGAAGAUGACAUCACCCGUGGCUCAGUUCAUGACCAAGAUCCGACUGAAGGUAUAUAGUCAAUCCUUUGUUAAAUGUUUAGUUUUUUGUUUUGUUUUGUUUUGCUACACAGGCACAGAGCAUUGAUUAGCCAGUCCAAUUACCCCAGAGCCCCAAA